CCUAGGAUCGGCCCUGACCCCAGGUCACGACCCCCAGGUACACCCUGCUCACGAGGAGAGUAUCAGAAGACACAGUCGAAGGAAGCAAAAGGAGAGCCGGAUAGCGAGCCAAGGUCAGGGUGGGCAGCAGACGACGUAAUCAGAAGAACUAGCCGAGUCGGUACACAAGAGAUCAGUUCACGAGAAGUCAGGUUAAGCAGGUUACAGGAAGGGCGCUCAGGAACAAGGGUUGCUCAAGCAACCAGAGUGGAAUUUAAAUAGCGAGGCACAUAGGGGGGCUGGACAGGAAGUAGCAGGAAGGAAAGAUAUAUUAAGCAACAGGUGAAGCCGGCAACACCCAUAGCCAGAGCUGAACGCAAGCUUGUGGAACAGGUGCCAGCCGACCUACAGCAGUAAAAGUAAGACACAGAUCAGCUCCGCAGCUGAUCUGUGACAUUGCUUCAGCUGGUCUCCAUGAAGGGCUCCUCUGUCACAUAGGGCCCCUGGCUUUAAAGACUUGAACCCAGGUCUUUUUCCUGGUCAGGCGUGACCGGCAGUGAAAAUGAUCAGCUUUUUUGGCGUUCCCUUAGGCCUGUGCAGGCUCUGGAAGUGCAAGUGGGCCAUGAGGUGAAAGUUCUCUUCUUGGGGCCAUGUUAGGUAUCUGAUAUGCCACCUUUAAGGUCAAAAAUCAUGGCAGCAGGGAGGACCUCAGAAUGUCGGCAAGGCUUCAAGAACCUGUAUGGGCUGAAAAAGGAACAAAGUUGAUGCCGUGUAAAAUGCUGCCCAGGUUACUGUAUCAAAUCCGAUUCAAAGUAGAGUUACCCUUUUAAAGGCUUGAUCUUGCCAUUGGGUGGACUGAAGAUGCCCGUGGCACAACUCUUGUGGCAGGGUAUACCAGCCCCUCUAUUAUUUUCCUUUACUCUGUGUCAGCUUCCGUCUGAUUCUUCUUAAGUCUCCUUUGUCACUCUCAUUGGCGGUCUCCUGACGCAUGUCUGUGUAUUAUCUGGGCGGUUGGGUGACGGGGCAAUACGGUUUACGCUCCGUGCCCUUUUACGUUCUUCCUUGAUGGUCUCGAUGUCAUAUUUAACUUUUUAUUUUUGUUGGAAAGAGAAAAAAAAAAUGUAAACACGAAGCUAACACGACUGUAAUACCGCGUUCACGACGAUGCCGUUUCUGGAAGGAAUCUCCUGUACCAGUUGCCAUGGCGACGACCAUUUUGUGAAACUGAGCCAAUUCCUUUUGCUGGAAGUCGGCCCGAUCGCCGAGGCACCGAGCGUCUUGUGCGCCCCCCUCCCCGGUGGGUCUCGCUGGUUCCUAGCAAAUGAAUAAGCUGCUUUUCUCAUGGUGAGCAAAAUGGCCUUCAUUGGGUGACAGGUACACUUUAAAUAGCGCUGAAUACGUCUUUAUUUUUUGCAUGGCUCAGGUUCUUGCUACUGUUUUGCGGGUAAGGAUUUUGUUCCGGCUGAUCGGGGGGGGGGGGCGUCACGCCACGUAGGCUGGAAUGUAAUUUACAUUAUUGGGUGGGGGGGGGGGUGGUGUUGGAAAUUUGGAGUCCAUUGCAAUGUUUCCAUACAUCACUGAGUGGUGCGUUCUUACCAUAGCUUUAAGGCAAGAGCGAGCAGCUUAUGAUGUCAAGGCAAGGCGGUCAUGAUGUCUAUCUACAACCCCUAGCAAGUCUGCUGGGAUUAAUACAUACGGGAAUGGUGAUGGAGUAUGUUCUAUACACAUAGGAUUCAAAAUGGCUGCCAUGUAGUGAGCUGUGUGGCCUAGCCAGGUUAUCAUGUGGUAGAGUCCGAGAUGAUUGGUAGGAUCCCAGAAUGUGUGGUACGUUGGUUUCCAUGAGGCAGUCUGACAAGAAUUGGUGAGGAGAGAUUGGUGGGAUUCCAAAAUGGCUGCCAUGUAGUGAGCUGUGUGGCCUAGACAGGUUAUCAUGUGGUAGAGUCCGGGAUGAUUGGUAGGAUCCCAGAAUGUCUGUCGUACGUUGGUUUCCAUGAGGCAGUCUGACAAGAAUUGGUGAGGAGAGAUUGGUGGGAUUCCAAAAUGGCUACCGUGUUGUGAGCUGCCUGCCGUAGACAGGUCAUCGUGUGGUAAAAUCCGAGAUGGUCGGUAGAAUUACAGAAUGUCUGUGGUACCUUGGUUUCCAUGAGGCAGUCUGACAGAAAUUGGUGAGGAGAGAUUGGUGAAAUUCCACAAUGGCUUCUGAGAAAAAUUGGCGCCUGGUUUGUCGGUUCCUUGAGGUAGACUGGCAGGGCUUCACAAUGGCUGCUGUGUGAUAAGGUAGAUUGCCAAGAUUUUAAAAUAGCUGCUAAAUUGUUCAGGAGACUGGCAGGCCUCAAAAUGGCUACUAGGUGUUGGACUCCAUGAGGUAAACUGGUAAGAGCUUAGUUGGUUUCACAUGAUAGGAAUCCAAAAUGGCUUCCUCAUAGAUGGCUUAGCGAGGUCACAGAACUUCAGAACAGCUUCUAGAGUGGUGGAAGGAGACAGGAAUCCAAGAUAGCUUCUUGGUGGAGGGCUUAGUGGAGUCACCUGACAGGAUUCCAAGAUGGUCUAUAGAUGGUGGACAUAGUGGGGUCAUCCAACAAGAUUCCAAAAGGGCUUCUUGGUGGAGGGCUCAGUGGAGUCACCUGACAGGAUUCCAAGAUGGUCUAUAGAUGGUGGACAUGGUGGGGUCAUCCAAACAGAUUCCAAAAGGGCUUCUUGGUGGAGGGCUUAGUAGAUUCACCGACAGGAUUCCAAAAUGGCUUCUAGAUGGUGGGCUCAGUAAAGUCACAUAACUAAAAUCUAUAGUGGAUUCAUGGUGGGGGGCUCAGUGGAGUCAUCUUAGUGGGGGUCACAGGACUUCAGAAUGACUUCUAGGGUGGUUGGAGAAGUGAGGUCACCUGGCAGGAAUUCAAAAUGGCUGCUUAGUGCAGGGCUUGGUAAAGUUACUUGACAUGAUUCCAAGGUGGUUUCUAGAUGGUGGACACAGUGAGGUCACCCAACAGGAUUCCAAAAUGGCUUCUUGGUGGAGGGCUUAGUGGAGUCACCUGAAAGGAUUCCAAGAGGGUUUCUAGAUGGUGGACAAAGAGAGGUCACCCAACAGAAUUUCAAAAUGGCUUCUUGGUAGAGGGCUCAAAUGGCUUCUUGGUGGAGGGCUUAGUGGAGUCACCUGACAGGAUUCCAAGAUGGUCUAUAGAUGUGGACAUAGUGGGGUCAUCCAACAAGAUUCCAAAAUGGCUUCUUGGUGGAGGACUUAGUGGAGUCACCUGGCCGGUUUACAAAAUGGCUUCUAGAUGGUGGGCUCAAUAAAGUCACAUAACUGGAAUCUAUAGUAUAUUCAUGAUGGGGGGCUCGGUGGAGCCAUCUGACAGGUUUUCUAAGAUGUUUUCUAUAUGGAGAGCUUGAUGGCUUAGUGGGGGUCACAGGACUUCAGAAUGGCUUCUAGGGUGGUUGGAGAAGUGAGGUCACGUGGCAGGAAUUCAAAAUGGCUGUUUGGUGCAGGGCUUGGUAAAGUUACUUGACAUGAUUCCAAGAUGGUUUCUAGAUAGUGGACACAGUGAGGUCACCCAACAGGAUUUCAAAAUGGCUUCUUGGGGGAGGGUUCAGUGGAGUCAUCUGACAAUAUUCCUACAUGGUUUCUAGAUGGUGGGAUGGGUAAGUUCCAUGACAGGAAUCCAAAAUAGGCUUGGUGGAGUCAUGUAAAAAGGAUUUCAAGAUGGUUUGUAGAUGGCGGCUCAUCGCGGUCUCACGACUGGCAUCCAAAAUUGGUUCUUGGUUGAGGGCUUACUGGAGUUGCCUGACAUUAUUUCAUGAUGGUUGCUAGAUGAUGGACUCAGUAAGGUCACACAACAGAAAUCCAUAGGUGGGGGGCUUAUUGGCGUCGCAUAACAGGAUUCCGAAAUGUCUUCUCGGUGGAGAGUAUGUUGGAGGUCACAUGACAGGUUUCAUCUUGGCUGCCAUGUGGCAUAUACAUGGAUAGGGCAGCCAAAUGGCUGCCAUGUAACAGGGGGUAUAAGAAAGAGCCAAGAAAACAGGGAAAGCGGUAGAAGCCACAUCAAUUCUAAAUGGCUGCCAUUAAAAUGGAUAAGAUGACCAAGUUGUCAAGACAACGAUCAGCCUUGUGUGAAGGCCACUUCAUCGUUCAGGCAGAGCGAUACAAUUAAAGGCCUGGCUAUACUUGCCCCAGGGGUCCUUCUCUUUGAUAUCAUUAGGAAAAGUCACAUUGGCCUACGUGUUUUUUUUUUUUUUUUUACAACAUCAAUGUCUAGCUGUGGGGUGCCAUCGGUGCCCCUUUCAGGUAUAGUUUGUGGUGUGGUCGAACCCUCAGUUGGUGGACCCUCUGACACAAUCCAAUCCAAAAGACUCUCGUCAUAGACUGAAGAUGGCCUUACAAUCUGGUAAUUGAACGGGGGGAGAGAAAAUGCAGGACUUUAAAUGGCCUGUUGGCUCAAAUGGCCCGUUGGGUCAACGCGUUUCGGCACCAAUGUGUAAGUAGGAGGUUCGAUUAUUUCCUUCCUCCGUACCCCAAAUUGUCCUUUUUUUUCCCUUUGUAUUGUAUUCAACCCCAUUUAGAGAGUCAUGAAUACAUUUUUACUGGCCCUCAUACAUAUGUAAAAUGUUGUUUACAGAUUACAUGCAUUUGCUCCUGAUGAGGCGAUAUAGUCGCCGAAACGCGUCGAUCCAACCGGCCAUUCUAGCCACGUUCGGCUCGACGCGUUUCAAUAAAAAUGUAUUCCUGACUCUCUAAAUGGGGUUGAAUACAAUACAAAGGGGGAAAAAAAGGACAAUUUGGGGUGCGGAGGAAGGAAAGAAUCUAACCUCCGACUUACACAUUGGUGCCGAAACGCGUCGAGCCAAGCCAACAGGCCAUUUAAAGUCCCAAACCUCCCUCUUCUUGUUUUUCACCUUACAACCUGGUUGUACAAUCCUCUAUUGAUCUACCAAUAGCCCUCUAGUGGGGGGGGGGGUGCCUACCUGAUUGGAUAUAAAUUCAAUUGAAAUGUUUAAGCCGGUCUUGACAUCGUUUUGGUUAAAUCCAUCAAUCAAGAUCAUUCAAUGUGAAUGGCACCUUUAGAGGGGAUUGUAUCGAGUCAGAUUGAAACAUGGCUGCCUGGGUUCCCCCAAUAGAAGACCAGGAAGGGAGUGUUUGGCGCCAUAUGGAAAGGGUCCAAUUGGAACAUCUUCCGCCAUUUUGGAAAGUCUUUGGCCUGUAGAGUGCGCCACUGACAACUGCCGGGGCCAUCGAGUAUCCUCCCGCAUAUACUUCACCCAAAUUCCCGCCAUCUUGGUUUUUUUUUU